UAUAGAAGAAUGCCAGGGAGGGAAGA
rnacentral:piRNA from 1 species